GGAUGUGAGGGUGAUCUGGUUGUGACGUCUGUCACCCCGUUGAUUGCCAGGGUUGAUUUGACUGAUCUAGCUGGCUAGGCGGGUGGCCCCUUCUUCCCUCACAGCGCCAUGUGUGUCCCUUCUGAAGCUGCACGCUUGGUUGAAGAGGACGACCUUCCCCGAUAGAGGAGGACCAUUCGUCUUCCGUCAAGGGUAUAUGAGCAGCUGCACUCCUCUGCUAGAACCUCUAAACAAGCUCUCAAAAUCGAGGUGUCAGCAAGGCCACAUUCCUUUCUGAAGGCUCUAGGGGAGGAUCUGUUCCUUCUUAUUUGGGUUAUUGGCAGAAUUCAGUUCCUU
rnacentral:snRNA from 1 species